rnacentral:lncRNA from 1 species
AUCAUUUUACUGUGUAACACACAGGUUGGUGAUUUUCAUUUUACAGAUUAGGGAGAAUAAAGUUUUGAGGAAUUAUGGCACUUGUUUGCUGGAGUUCACCAAAAAAUUGAGAGAGUAGAAUAAUGCAUGGUAGUGCAUGCCUGCAAUCUCAGUGACUCAAGAGGCCAAGGCAGGAGGAUUGUCAAGUUUGAGAUCAGCCUCAGUAACUUGGAGAGGACCUCAGCAANCCAGAUAACCCUCUUCCCUGUCCCCUCAUACCCCCUGCCACAAAAAAAAAAAAAAAAAAAAAAAACAAACAAACAAAAAACCCAGAAAGAAAAAGAAAGAAAUAAGGUGGAAACCCUAUGCUUCUAGACUUCUUUUUCCUCUGUAAUAAUGAUCAGUAGAACGUGUACAUGGAGAAAGAUGGGGAGAGGAAUAGAAAAUAAGAAGUAGGAAUAGUAGCAAGCAUGAGAGGCUGAAAAUAUUCUGUUGAGAAAAACUAGUUGCACAUCUUUUUUGAGAGUUUUUAAAUGAAUAUCACCAGGAAAACUAAUAUGACUCACAAGUGCACAUGAAGCUUUAUUUUGAGUGUGUGAGUUUCAAAUGAUAACCAGUCAUUGACUAGAAAAAAUAUUUUCCCUGAGCGUUUCAUAAAUUGUCUUAAUAUGCAUAUGGAU